rnacentral:rRNA from 1 species
AUGAACGCUGGCGGCGUGCUUAACACAUGCAAGUCGAACGGUGAAGCCCAGCUUGCUGGGUGGAUCAGUGGCGAACGGGUGAGUAACACGUGAGCAACCUGCCCCUGACUCUGGGAUAAGCGCUGGAAACGGCGUCUAAUACUGGAUACGAGUAGCGACCGCAUGGUCAGUUACUGGAAAGAUUUAUUGGUUGGGGAUGGGCUCGCGGCCUAUCAGCUUGUUGGUGAGGUAAUGGCUCACCAAGGCGUCGACGGGUAGCCGGCCUGAGAGGGUGACCGGCCACACUGGGACUGAGACACGGCCCAGACUCCUACGGGAGGCAGCAGUGGGGAAUAUUGCACAAUGGGCGCAAGCCUGAUGCAGCAACGCCGCGUGAGGGAUGACGGCCUUCGGGUUGUAAACCUCUUUUAGCAGGGAAGAAGCGAAAGUGACGGUACCUGCAGAAAAAGCGCCGGCUAACUACGU